UACAGAGGGUGCGAGCGUUAAUCGGAAUUACUGGGCGUAAAGCGCACGUAGGCGGCUUGGUAUGUCGGGUGUGAAAUCCCCGGGCUCAGCCUGGGAACUGCAUCCGAAACUGCCUUGCUCGAGUAUGGGAGAGGGAAGCGGAAUUUCCGGUGUAGCGGUGAAAUGCGUAGAUAUCGGAAGGAACAUCAGUGGCGAAGGCGGCUUCCUGGACCAAUACUGACGCUCAGGUGCGAAAGCGUGGGGAGCAAACAGG
rnacentral:rRNA from 1 species